CAGGACUCGCAAGACUCCUAUAACCCUGUGAACCUACUGUAAAUACGUUGCUUCGGCGGGUGCUCUCCGGGAUUCGUCCCGGGGCGCGUCAGCCCGCCGGCAGCCUACAAAUUCUGUUUCUUUGCGUUGGCAUCUCGAGUAAAUCAAAUAAGUUA
rnacentral:misc_RNA from 1 species